CCCUUAGAUGUUCUGGGCCGCACGCGCGCUACAAUGAUGAAUUCAACGAGUUUAUAACCUUGGUUGAAAAGCCUGGGUAAUCUUUUGAACUUUCGUCGUGAUGGGGCUAGACCCUUGCAAUUAUUGGUCUCCAACGAGGAAUUCCUAGUAAACGCAAGUCAUCAGCUUGCAUUGAUUACGUCCCUGCCCUUUGUACACACCGCCCGUCGCACCUACCGAUUGAAUGGUCCGGUGAAAGCUUCGGAUUGAGACUUUGAUUUCUUCACGGAAAACGCUGUUUUAAAAAGUUGAUUAAACCUUACCAUUUAGAGGAAGGUGAAGUCGUAACA
rnacentral:rRNA from 1 species